GGGGGUGGAGGGGGCGGGGCAGCUCCCAACAAUGAAGAAUUUUUCAGUCCAAAAUAUCAGUAGUGGUGAGAUUGAAACAUCCUGUUUUAGAGGUUGAUACAAUAUAAAGAAUAGACAUUAACAAUAAUAAAAGCGACGGGGGGUUGCUUUAGAAUGAUAUUUCUAGGUACAGGAUUUUGAGUCAAGUCCUAGGUGCAAGUACUUUCUAGCACCAGGAAACCAUGAGCCAUGAAGCAAGAGGUAGCUGAGAGAGCAUGUAGUGAAAGAAUAUGGCUUUUCGGGUCAGCUAAACCUGAGCUUGGAUUCUGAUUCCAACACUUCAGUUUUUUAUAUGGAAAAUGGGAUUAAUGCUCAACUCAUGAAACCGUGGAGAGGAAACUGCUUAGCACAGUGCUGGGACACAGAAACUGCUGAAAUAGUACCUGCCAUUAUUUCAAGGACCUCUCUUAGAGAGGAAGAUACUGAGGCCCACAGAGGCAAAUCAACUUGCCCAACAUUAUAGAACACAUUGAAAGUCUGGAAUAGAAGCCUGGGUCUCUAAAUCCCCAGUCCUGUUGUUUAUGUGAAGUAAAGGCAAUAAAGUGGGAAAUUCUAUAAUAUAAAUGGGCUACAGUUAAUGUUCUGUAGUUGUUUUUGGCUUAAAAUUUUUAUAAAAGUAGUAUAUACUCUUUGGAAAAUUAAGAAAUACAUAAGUGUAUUUAGAAAGUGAAAGUUAUGCCCAUAUAGCCUCCAGAGGUAACCACCAUUAACUUUUUGGAACAUAGUCUCCUUCUUGUUCUCCCUAAGUAUGUAUGUGUAUAUCGAAUCAUACAGACACACAGAGACACAGAUGUAUACACCCUGUCCCAUAAAAUGGCUCUUCUCUUUAUAUUGUUUUUUUUUAAUGUCAAUAUAGAUUGUUCUUUUCAAAAGCUACAUAGUAUUUUACUAUUGUGCCAUAAGUUAUCCAGGCUCUACUGAUCUAUAUUCAGCUUGUUCAUUAGGAUUCUCUUUGUUGAAAUUGGAAGAAUCCCAACUCAAACUAGUCUUAGCUAAAGAGGGAGUUCAUUGUCCCAUUUAGUCAUAUUUGCGGAAGAGCAGGCUGGUGUUAGCCUCAGAGGGUGCCUGCACCCAGAGACCUUAGCGCACUAGAAAUUGCCAUCUCUCCGUGUCUCAUCUCUUUAUCUUAGCAUAAACAGCUUCAUUCAUAGACUAGCUUCACCUCCUGUGUGAGAGACAAAAUUGGAAGUUCCAGAUUCUAUCCUAGCAACUUUCUGACCUAACAGGAAGUAAUUCUUUUCUAUCAGUUCCAAGUGAAAAUAAUUCUGGAGUCACAGCCCCAACAAUCUUACUACCUGAAAAGAAAAUGACUCUUUCCUGGACAAAGACCCUGACUGGUUCAUGUUAGAUUAUGCAUCCACCCUUCUGAAGAAUUAAGUCCUAUUGCUUCUGCCUUCCAUUAUCCUUUUCCACUUCACUCCCAACUUCUGGCUGAAUGGAGCUGCUGCCUUCUUACAUGAUCCAGUAUCCCUGAAUCUGGAGGUAGAAGGGUGGUGAGAUUGAGAGGCUGUGCUUCUGUAAGCUGCUGGAAACCGUGACCCCUCACUAUGGAGAAAGACUGUAGUAGCAGAGCAUGAUGCCAACAUUCCCAGGGAAACAUGUCCUGUCUUGCCAUGGGUCAGGCUCAGUUGGUCAGCUUUUCCUUUGAUUCUGUGAGCUGGCUCACUAUCCAUUCAAUAUUCCACCCAACACACUUUUUUUUUUCUUUUUGCUUAUAGCAGUUUGAAUUGAGUUGUUAUCACAUAAACUCCUCAACUAAUAAAUUUUUAAAAAAAUUUUUAA